rnacentral:rRNA from 1 species
AUGUCUUCUGCAAUGGAGUCAUCGUACCUUCCUGCCACUACUGAGUCAAUUGAAAAAGCUCAGGAGGCUAAGGAUGCUUCAGAGUCAAUUUCAAUCCUUUACCGUCUGAUCCAAGACCCGUCUUCAUCUGCAGAUGCACUGAGAACAAAAGAGCUUGCGAUUACCAACCUUACAAACUACCUCACUAAAGAGAACCGUGCCGAGGAUCUGCGAAAUCUCUUGACCCAGCUGAGGCCGUUUUUCUCACUGAUUCCCAAGGCCAAGACUGCAAAAAUUGUCCGUGGAAUCAUUGAUGCUGUCGCCAAGAUUCCUGGAACAUCUGAUCUUCAGAUCUCGCUCUGCAAGGAGAUGGUGGAAUGGACGCGUGCAGAGAAACGUACAUUCCUCAGGCAGCGUGUGGAGGCAAGGUUAGCGGCCCUUCUUCUGGAGAAUCAAGAGUACACUGAAGCCCUGACCCUCCUUACUGGACUUAUCAAGGAAGUCAGGAGACUUGAUGACAAGUUGCUCCUUGUGGACAUUGACCUUUUGGAAAGCAAACUCCACUUCUCUCUGAGAAAUCUGCCUAAGGCCAAAGCUUCACUGACCGCCGCAAGAACAGCGGCGAAUGCCAUUUAUGUUCCACCAGCUCAGCAGGGCACUAUUGAUCUGCAGAGUGGAAUCCUUCAUGCGGAAGAGAAGGACUACAAAACUGCUUACAGCUACUUCUUUGAAGCAUUCGAGGCCUUCAAUGCACUGGACGACCCAAGAGCUAUAUCCAGCUUGAAGUACAUGCUCUUGUGCAAGAUAAUGGUCAACCAGGCUGACGAUGUUGCUGGAAUAAUCUCAUCUAAGGCUAGCCUGAAGUAUGUGGGUUCUGAUGUUGAUGCUAUGAAAGCUGUGGCUGAUGCCUACUCUAAAAGAUCUCUCAAGUACUUUGAAACCGCCCUUCGUGAUUUCAAAGCCCAGCUGGAGGAGGACCCUAUUGUCCACAGGCAUCUUUCAUCUCUGUAUGAUACCCUUCUGGAGCAGAACCUCUGCAGGUUGAUUGAGCCCUACUCGAGGGUGGAGAUUGAGCAUGUCGCGCAGAUGAUUGAAUUGCCAGUUGACCAUGUCGAGAAGAAGCUGUCACAGAUGAUCCUUGACAAGAAAUUUGCUGGUACUCUGGAUCAAGGUGCUGGUUGCCUCAUUAUCUUUGAGGAGCAGAAAACUGAGGCCAUCUUCCCUGCCACACUCGAAACUAUUUCAAACGUUGGGAAGGUUGUGGACAGUCUUUACAUGAGAUAUGCUUCAUACACAAUGCUGAGAGGUUGGAUGGCUUUUCACUGGCAUCGGCGGUCAAUAUGCUGA